AGAAUCAACGCUGGCGGCGUGCCUAACACAUGCAAGUCGAACGAGAAAGUGGUAGCAAUACCAUGAGUAAAGUGGCGCACGGGUGAGUAACACGUGACUAACCUACCCUGGAGUGGGGAAUAACUGAGGGAAACCUUAGCUAAUACCGCAUAACACCUACGGGUCAAAGGAGCAAUUCGCUUCAGGAGGGGGUCGCGGCCGAUUAGUUAGUUGGCGGGGUAAUGGCCCACCAAGACGAUGAUCGGUA
rnacentral:rRNA from 1 species